AUCAAUAUAUAAUACGAUUAAGGAUUCUUGCGCUCUCCUUAAUCCGGGGUCCUAUGUGGCAUGCUUAAGAAUUCAAGGUUUAAAAUCCCUGCAAUUCUAAAGCUUCUAGCUUAAUAUCAUUAAUCUUACGUGGCAAACUAAUUCCACGUAAUUUCUUUUAAGUUUAUUCAUAUUUUACAUUUAAUAUCGUUUAAUCUCAAAUACCAUGAUCAGUCGCCAUCUCCAUUCCAUCCCAAACCUCAAAAACCAUGACCAGUCGCCUCCACCACAAUCCCUUGAAACUCUCACCGCCACCACCGUCUUCGCCGCGCCGGCCACUAUCGAAAUAUGGCACCUCUUUCCCUCCACCGUGAUUUCCCCGCCAGCCAUCUGAUCUGCCACCUUCCCAAAAUUUGGGGAAAACCAGAACUAUGCAACUCUCACCGCCACUGCCGCCUUCGCCGCACCGGCCACCGGCUUCGCCGUCGCCGCCAUCUGCCACCUCCAUUUCCCCAUUCCCCGCGAUUCCGCGAUCUGCCACCUCCUUUUGAAUCGACUCGCCAAUAAUCUGAAAAUCAUCAAAACCCGUUCGUUCUGCCUCCCGCCGCGAUUCGCUUCGCCGCGCCGGCCACCGCCGAGAUCGACACAGUCCGCCGCCUCGCCAUGGUAAGUAUUCAAUUAGGAAAGAUUAUAUUUGACUAUGAUUAGUGCUCAAUUAUAGAAUAAUGAAAUUUUGGAAAGAUUUACCAAUCGAUCAAUAAUCUGCCAAUUUUUAGGGUUUAGAUUUAACAAUGGGAAAUUAUUAUGUUAGGAAAGAUUACAUUUCACUAUGAUUAGUACUAAAUUUUAGAAAUAUGAAAAUUUGGAAAGAUUUACCUAUCGAGCAAAUUCUUAGGGUUUAGGUUUAACUAAUGGAAACUUUAUAACUUACAUUUUAGCUAUAAAUUCCAUUAGUUUUGAAUGAGAGUUUAUUUGCCGCAUUGACGUUUUUACAGCAGCACAUUCUACUGUCUUCUUGCUUAUUGCUCAUUUUGCUUAUUUCUCAAGGUAUACAUUAUAUCAAUUUUAUUUUAUUACUAUUUUUUUUAACUCAAUUAUCAGAAUAUAUGUAUGAUGAACAAUUUGGCAAAUUAAACUGCAUUAUAUAUUUAAAUUUCGAUUUGUAAUUUUGAGCUAUAAAUUCUGUCGCGACUAUAGGCCGUCCUUGAGCCCGGAAACCGUCCUUGAGCUCCAAAACUCGGCGAGGGCCGUCGCUCAAACUUGCCUCCCCUUCCUGAAGACUCGCCACUGUCCAUGUGCCGUCGUCGGAGACUCCUCUGCCUCGACGAACAAGGCAGCCACCCCAGGCUCUCACAAGUGAAAGGAGAGUCUCACGCAAACAGGUAAACUAAUAAUUGUUUACUGCCUAUGUGCAGUAUGUUGGGAACAUGCUUAGAAAUUGAUUGAGUUCCACAUGUAUUACUUCCGUCUAUUGAUCAUUGCUUCUGGUAGGGGUAGUUUUGGAACCCAUGGUAUUCUGAUCUGGUGUUUUUCGAGAUGAUGAGGAACUAUAUGAUUGGUUUUGGUUAUUGAUUCGUUUAUUUUGUAAUUGAAACUGGUGCUUUCAAUUUUGUAUCUAAUUUUCAUAUAUUGGUGGUGUUUUCAAUUUUGUAACUUUAGUGUUAUUGUGUCUUUCUAUUUGUUAGGCAUCUACAAGAAGUUUAUUAUGCCAUAUGUUUACAUGUGAGUCUGUGAUUGAACUGGCCAAUAGAGUAAACAAUAAUAUCAUGUCUGAAAUUGGCGCCGCCGGCCUCCCCUCUCUGAAAUCGACUACUAAUCUCGCACGUAUUGUUUGCUGCUUUCUUUGUGCCACAACUUUCUAUUGAAUAUCUCUACCAGAGCUUCUGCAUCUGAAAUCUGUUUCAUUCUAUUGAAUUCUUGAUUGAAAAAAAAAUAUUAAAUUGGUGGCAGCAGCACAAUGACUCGAUCUUAUUACUGUUUGCUAAAUUUAAAAUGCUCACUCAUCUGGAAUUUUAAUUUCUAUCUCAAAGUUGUUCUUUCCUUGGACUAUUAGGAUCACAUUUUGAUAUUGGUUGAUGUUUUGGUGGGAUUGUUGUAAAUUUAUAUAGACGUAAAACAACAUUUACUAUUGGUGGGAUUGUUGUAUUGGUUGACAUUUAUUUUAUAGAGUCUAUGCAUGAUUAUACAUUUUUGGUGGGAUUGUUGUAUUGGUUGAGGAGUAUCAAUGCAUUUACUAUCCUGCUUCGGGUUGUUGCUCUUAUGAAUUUUUUGUUUCUGUCCCUGUGAUCAUGUUGGAAAAAAUUGUUGCUUUACGUGUAACGUGUGUUUUUUGUUUUGUGAUUGUCAAAAUAUGCCCUUUUUUGCCGCUUUAAUUGUUGCCGUAUAUUGUAGCCGUGCUCCACGGUUGAUGAAUCAAUUCUCCGGAUGAAGUUCUAUUUAAUGCUUCAAGGUUGCGUUGACUCUUUAGAGUUAUGAUUAUCAAACCGUUGGGAUGUCCAUGUGUUUAUGCUCAUGAGUUUUAUUUUUCUACCAUUAUAAUUAGGGGUAAAUUUAGAAUUCUAUUGGUUCUAUAGUGUAAAAGUUCACUUUAGCAUAUUCUAUGUAUUAUUUAUAUAUGAGUAUUGUAUAAUAAAUCAUGCAUUAUUAUAACACAUAAAAUGCUGGAAUCUACACUAUUCGUGGGAUUUUGCAUACAUACAGAUUCGCAUGUACUUACACACACACACUUUCCAUAUAUUGAAGAUUGCAGUUCUGCAAUGGUUAACAUAGCAUGAGCUGGCCUGGGUCGUUUGGGAUGGUCCUGCAGCUUGGAAAAACGAUGCUAAUAGUUGUUUAUAUGUCACCAAACAAACUACCUGCAUAUUUCAUAUUAGCUUUUGCAAUUCAAAGUUGGCAUAAAUAGUUUUAAUGAGGGAAUGUAUUGAAUAAUGGAUUCAUGAUUCAUCUAAAAGAAAUGAAGCACCUGGGAAUGUAAAUUCAAAUUUAAUGAAAUAAGUAUUUCUGAUUUAGUUAACUUUUAAUUCAUUUUAAUGUGUGUUGUGGAGUUAUCUGAUCACAUUCUUUCUCCCCUCUUUUUGUAUUUUGUGGUGGAAUCUGGCAUCGAAUAUAUACUAUCUUUUGUGAGUUUUGAAUUUGAGGAAUUUUUCUUUAUUGUAUUCUAUAGUUAGUUUUGAAUUUGAGGAAUUUUUCUUCAUUGUAUUCUAUAGUUUCUAAAUAAUAUUCCACAUUAUUCGGUGGAGGAAUUUAUCAAUUCAGAUAAUUUAUUAAUCUGGAUUUAUGCGGUUCUUGGAUAAACGGUUAUUUGUAGAGUGCACAUGUGUUUCUGAUGUCUUCUUCUCUGUAAAGUUUCUAACUCUUGUGUGAUUUUUAAAUUCGUGUGGAAAGGGCCGAGUUAAGUGGAGCCAUACUGUAUUUACUCCUAUUAUAGUUUGAAAUAUAAUGUAAACUUAUUUUUCAAUAAUAACUAGUAUAUGCCCAUUCGUGCGAUGCACGACAGACAUCGAAAUUAAAUGAUAAAU
rnacentral:lncRNA from 1 species